GGCUGGGCCUAUGGUAGAGAGGGUUAUCAGAAUUUAUUAACAUUAGUGUCACUAAAGUUGGUACACAACCCCCCACUGCUAAAUUUGACUGCCUUUA
rnacentral:Y_RNA from 1 species